GAGUUUCACUUGCUGUUUUAAAUUUUUCAUCUCCUUUGGACCCUAGGCUUGUCCUAGUGGUCUUGUUUCUCAUGUUUGAAUGUGAUUUUCAGGUUGAAGAAGCAAAUGUUUUAAGGAGAUUAAUUCAAGAUUGAUUGAGUUUGGUUUAUAUGCUUGUUAUGAACUAACUUGGUCUAUUUUGUAGGAUGCUUAGCUCACUUGCUUUGGACUUGUGCUUUACACAUGUGAUUGAUUGUGUUGACUGUUGGCU
rnacentral:lncRNA from 1 species